rnacentral:rRNA from 1 species
CCCGCACAAGCGGAGGAACAUGUGGUUUAAUUCGAUGAUACGCGAGGAACCUUACCCGGGCUUGAAAUGGAGAGGAAUAACUUGGAAACAGGUUAGCCAGCAAUGGUCUCUUUGUAGGUGCUGCAUGGUUGUCGUCAGCUCGUGCCGUGAGGUGUCGGCUUAAGUGCCAUAACGAGCGCAACCCUUAUUGUUAGUUACUAACAGGUAAUGCUGAGGACUCUAGCGAGACUGCCACCGUAAGGUGUGAGGAAGGUGGGGAUGACGUCAAAUCAGCACGGCCCUUACGUCCGGGGCGACACACGUGUUACAAUGGGAGGUACAGAGGGCUGCUACGCCGCGAGGCGAUGCUAAUCUCUAAAACCUCUCUCAGUUCGGAUCGGAGUCUGCAACUCGACUCCGUGAAGCCGGAUUCGCUAGUAAUCGCGCAUCAGCCAUGGCGCGGUGAAUACGUUCCCGGGCCUUGUACACACCGCCCGUCAAGCCAUGGAAGCUGGGGGUACCUAAAGUACGUGACCGCAAGGAGCGUCCUAGGGUAAAACUAGUAACUGGGGCUAAGUCGUAACAAGGUAACCGUA